CAGCCGCCACGGUAAUACGUGGGUGGCAAGCGUUGUCCGGAAUUAUUGGGCGUAAAGGGCUCGCAGGCGGUUUCUUAAGUCUGAUGUGAAAGCCCCGACUCAACCGGGGAGGGUCAUUGGAAACUGGGAAACUUGAGUGCAAGAGGGGAGAGUGGAAUUCCAUGUGUAGCGGUGAAAUGCGUAGAUAUAUGGAGGAACACCGGUGGCGAAAGCGGCUCUCUGGCUUGUAACUGACGCUGAGGCUCGAAAGCGUGGGGAGCAAACAGGAUUAGAUACCCCCGUAGUCCCUGUCUCUUAUACA
rnacentral:rRNA from 1 species